ACUCCUACGGGAGGCAGCAGUAGGGAAUCUUCCACAAUGGGCGCAAGCCUGAUGGAGCAACACCGCGUGAGUGAAGAAGGGUUUCGGCUCGUAAAGCUCUGUUGUUAAAGAAGAACACGUAUGAGAGUAACUGUUCAUACGUUGACGGUAUUUAACCAGAAAGUCACGGCUAACUACGUGCCAGCAGCCGCGGUAAUACGUAGGUGGCAAGCGUUAUCCGGAUUUAUUGGGCGUAAAGAGAGUGCAGGCGGUUUUCUAAGUCUGAUGUGAAAGCCUUCGGCUUAACCGGAGAAGUGCAUCGGAAACUGGAUAACUUGAGUGCAGAAGAGGGUAGUGGAACUCCAUGUGUAGCGGUGGAAUGCGUAGAUAUAUGGAAGAACACCAGUGGCGAAGGCGGCUACCUGGUCUGCAACUGAACGCUGAGACUCGAAAGCAUGGGUAGCGAACAGGAUUAGAUACCCUGGUAGGAUAGCG
rnacentral:rRNA from 1 species